CUUCCUCGUAUUGUACCAAGACCUACUUCCUGGGACAGAUUUCUUCCUGUGCAACAGAAUGGGUUCCCGUCCUGCUGUCAACACAUGUUCAAACCCUAUCCUCUGGCCAUCCUGAAGCAUGGCAUGAACAAACUUGUUUUCUGGGAGGUUAAUUGUUAUGUCAUCAUGCAGGCACAAUGGGAGUGGAGAUGGACAUUAGGACAAUGGUGCUGGAUCUAAGCAUAGCUUAUCGGUGAAGCUCAUUUGAAUACUUUUCCUAUAACCGUGUCAUGACUAAUUGCUGGCUUUUGGACCUCAGUCUUUCCUUGUCGGGUUUCAUUGUGGGGGCCAUCUUGCUUUGUGGGAUUGUUGAGGACCCAAGACUUCUCUGCCUCCUCAAGGUAUCACCUGUUGACCCUGAGAUUCACAUUGCUGCAGAGGCAUGGGAACCAGAAGAGAACCCAAGCUUAGGGCAUCAAAGCAACAAGAAGAAGGAAGAGCAGGACUAAAGCCAAGGGUAUGAUCAGGAAUUUCUAUAGGUACUGGGGGAUAAAG
rnacentral:lncRNA from 1 species